GUGGGGAAUCUUGCGCAAUGGGCGAAAGCCUGACGCAGCCAUGCCGCGUGAAUGAUGAAGGUCUUAGGAUUGUAAAAUUCUUUCACCGGGGACGAUAAUGACGGUACCCGGAGAAGAAGCCCCGGCUAACUUCGUGCCAGCAGCCGCGGUAAUACGCAGGGGGCUAGCGUUGCUCGGAAUUACUGGGCGUAAAGGGCGCGUAGGCGGACAGUUUAGUCAGAGGUGAAAGCCCAGGGCUCAACCUUGGAAUUGCCUUUGAUACUGGCUGUCUUGAGUACGGGAGAGGUGAGUGGAACUCCGUGUGUAGAGGUGAAAUUCGUAGAUAUUCGGAAGAACACCAGUGGCGAAGGCGACUCACUGGCCCGUUACUGACGCUGAGGCGCGAAAGCGUGGGGAGCAAACAGGAUUAGAAACCCCGGUAGUCC
rnacentral:rRNA from 1 species